GUCCAAGUUAAGGUCAUGCUUGUGGGAGUUUUGGAAAUAUAGCAGCAAUCCCUCAUCCAUAAUUCAGUUUAGGCUGAAACAUCAUGUGAUCUUCAGACAAGUCAUGUGGACACAUGGGAGUUGGAGGACAUCAAACGCCAUAACACUGAUUAAAGGACAAAAGCAAUCACACCAGAGACUGGAGGCCCUGCAAUUAACAACACAUCAGUCCACCGCGCGUCCCAUCCAUCUCCCGCGCUAGCCAUUGUGCCGGACAGGCACGCCGAGAGAGAAAUAUGAAUAUGAGGGCGGCGGCGGCAGCAGCAGCGGCUGUGGCGGCGGGAGAAAUAUGGCCGCCGACUGGCGAAGCAGCUGCU